AGCACGUGCUAUGUGUGUCUGUCCUAUCUAUAGAUGCAGACUGACGCAAGUGCUUAAAAUAAAACCUUCUUUUGCAACCCACAACUUGGUUCAUUUGUAUGAGUUGUGUUACUUACAGGAAGGGACAUC